UACGAAGGUGGCGAAUGUUGCUCGGAUUCACUGGGCGUAAAGCGUCUGUAGGUGGCUUGUUAAGUUAGAGGUGAAAGCCCGCGCUCAACGUGGGAACUGCCUUUAAAACUGGCGAGCUUGAGAGUAUCAGAGGAAGGCGGAAUAACUGGUGUAGAGGUAAAAUUCAUAGAUAUACAGUUGGAACAUCCAUGGCGAAGGCAGCUUUCUGGGAGUAUUUCUGACACUGAGAGACGACAGCGUGGGAGCAAACAGG
rnacentral:rRNA from 1 species